ACUCCUACGGGAGGCAGCAGUAAGGAAUAUUGCGCAAUGGGCGACAGCCUGACGCAGCGACGCCGCGUGGGGGAUGAAGGUCUUCGGAUUGUAAACCCCUUUCGGCAGGGAAGAUGGAACGGGUAACCGUUCGGACGGUACCUGCAGAAGCAGCCACGGCUAACUUCGUGCCAGCAGCCGCGGUAAUACGGAGGUGGCAAGCGUUGUUCGGAUUUACUGGGCGUACAGGGAGCGUAGGCGGUUGGGUAAGCCCUCCGUGAAAUCUCCGGGCCUAACCCGGAAAGUGCGGAGGGGACUGCUCGGCCAGAGGAUGGGAGAGGAGCGCGGAAUUCCCG
rnacentral:rRNA from 1 species